rnacentral:tRNA from 1 species
GGGGUUGUGGCUCAGUAGUAGAGUGCUUGCCUAGCAUGCAUGAGGCCCUGGGUUCCAUCCUCAGCACCA